CAGGGUCUCACUCUGCCAACCAAGCUGGAGUGCAGUGAUGUGAUUGUAGCUCACUGCUGCCUCAAAUUCCUGGACUCAAGCCACCCUCCCGCCUCAGCCUCCCAAGUAGCUGGAUUACAGAUGCACACCACCAUGCCUGGUUAACUUUCAAUUUUUUGUAGAUCAGGGUCUUGCUGUAUGACCCAGACUGUCUUAAACUCCUGGGCUCAAGAGAUCCUCCCACCUUGGCCCCCCAAAGCACUGGGUUUAUAAGCAUAAGCCACCACACUCAGCCCCUAUACUACUUCUUACAACUGCAGGUAAAUCUGCAAUUAUCUCAAAAUGAAAAGGCACUUCUCCUUGCUGCUGCCAUGUGAAGAAGAACAUGUUUGCUCCCUCUUCCACCAUGAUUGUAAAUUUUGUGUGGCCUCCCCAGCCAUGGAGAACUGUGAGUCAACUAAACUGCUUUCCUUUACAAAUUACCCAGUCUCCAGUAUGUCUCUAUUAGCAGUGUAAAAAUGGACUAAUACACCUUGAGAGCUGAUAUUUAAAAAGAGCCUCCCUCUCUACUCUCUCUUGCGUCUUUUGCCAUGUGAUCUCUGCACAAGUUGCUCCCCUUUCCCUUGCACCAUGAGUGAAAGCAGUUUGAGGCUCUCACUAGAUGUAGAUGUGGGCACCAUGCUUCUUAUACAGCCUGUGGAACAUGAGCCAGAUAAAUCUUUCUUCAUAAAUUAUCCAUCCUCAAGUGUUCGUUUAUAGCAAUGCAAAUAGGCCAAAACAGUGAUAUAAAGAUAAGGAGGUUUUUUGUUGUUGUUGUCUUCAAAGUUACUGACAAGGAAUACAAUGGGGUGUUAAGAUUUGAC
rnacentral:lncRNA from 10 species